rnacentral:rRNA from 1 species
GACUAACGCUGGCGGCGUGCCUAACACAUGCAAGUCGAACGAGAGUAGCAAUACUCUAGUGGCAGACGGGUGAGUAACACGUGGUCAACCUACCUCUAUGUGGGGGAUAACUAGCCGAAAGGUUAGCUAAUACCGCAUACGAUCGUCGAGCGGCAUCGCUUGACGAUGAAAGGAGCAAUCCGCAGAGAGACGGGACCGCGUCCCAUUAGCUAGUUGGUGGGGUAAUGGCCUACCAAGGCGACGAUGGGUAGCUGGCUUGAGAGAGCGACCAGCCACACUGGGACUGAGACACGGCCCAGACUCCUACGGGAGGCAGCAGUGAGGAAUUUUCCGCAAUGGGCGAAAGCCUGACGGAGCGACGCCGCGUGUGGGAAGAAGGCCUUCGGGUCGUAAACCACUGUCGAAGGGGAAGAUAUUGACGGUACCCUUGGAGGAAGCCCCGGCUAACUACGUGCCAGCAGCCGCGGUAAGACGUAGGGGGCAAGCGUUGUCCGGAAUUAUUGGGCGUAAAGCGCUCGUAGGCGGAUCGAUAAGUCUGUGAAGAAAGACCCGGGGCUCAACUCGGGGAACGGCAUAGAUACUGUUGAUCUUGAGACAGUCAGAGGAUGAUGGAAUCCAG